rnacentral:misc_RNA from 1 species
AGCCAUGCAGUGAAUCUUCUUAGUAUUACUAUAACAGGGUCAUUAAUAUCCACAAAGUUUAUUUGACAACAUUCAAAACAUUGAAAUAAAAUUAUUGCUCAUUAAAAAUGUGAUAUUGUGACAAAGCAAUAGACAAUAGCAUUAGAGAAAUGAUAAAUACACUACAUCCAAAUUGAUCUUAACUAUCAAGAGACUAAGAGUGUGAAGUUGAGCCCUAAAACUCUUCGUAGAAAUUAUAUGAAAUCUAAAAAUGAGGUAUUUGAUACAGAAUCUUGGAAUUGAAUGCGCAUCCCCACAAUGACAAAAAGAACCAAACGAAAAAACAAGAACGCUAUACUUCGCACUCUAUUUACAUCACUGAAUCCCUA